CACUCCGGUGGCCUAGUGAUUAUAGCGCUCGCCUCGGAUGUGGGAUGUGCGGGAUCAAACCCCGGCCGAGUCA